rnacentral:rRNA from 1 species
UCGGGGUACACGAGCGGCGAACGGGUGAGUAACACGUGGGUAACCUGCCCCGUACUCUGGGAUAAGCCUGGGAAACUAGGUCUAAUACCGGAUAUGACUCCGCAUCGCAUGGUGUGGGGUGGAAAGUUCCGGCGGUACGGGAUGGGCCCGCGGCCUAUCAGCUUGUUGGUGGGGUGAUGGCCUACCAAGGCGACGACGGGUAGCCGGCCUGAGAGGGUGACCGGCCACACUGGGACUGAGACACGGCCCAGACUCCUACGGGAGGCAGCAGUGGGGAAUAUUGCACAAUGGGCGAAAGCCUGAUGCAGCGACGCCGCGUGAGGGAUGACGGCCUUCGGGUUGUAAACCUCUUUCAGCAGGGACGAAGCGCGAGUGACGGUACCUGCAGAAGAAGCACCGGCUAACUACGUGCCAGCAGCCGCGGUAAUACGUAGGGUGCGAGCGUUGUCCGGAAUUAUUGGGCGUAAAGAGCUCGUAGGCGGUUUGUUGCGUCGGCCGUGAAAACUUCACGCUUAACGUGGAGCCUGCGGUCGAUACGGGCAGACUUGAGUUCGGCAGGGGAGACUGGAAUUCCUGGUGUAGCGGUGAAAUGCGCAGAUAUCAGGAGGAACACCGGUGGCGAAGGCGGGUCUCUGGGCCGAUACUGACGCUGAGGAGCGAAAGCGUGGGGAGCGAACAGGAUUAGAUACCC